UCAUAUGCUUGUCUUAAAGAUUAAGCCAUGCAUGUCUAAGUAUAAGCUUUUAUACGGCUAAACUGCGAAUGGCUCAUUAAACAGUUAUAGUUUAUUUGAUGGUCUUUACUACAUGGAUAA